CAAAGGAGCGAUCCGGUGACGGAUGGGCAUGCGCCGCAUUAGUUAGUUGGCGGUGUAACGGACCACCAAGACGACGAUGCGUAGGGGUUCUGAGAGGAAGGUCCCCCACACUGGUACUGAGACACGGACCAGACUCCUACGGGAGGCAGCAGUGAGGAAUAUUGGUCAAUGGGCGAGAGCCUGAACCAGCCAAGUCGCGUGAGGGAAGACGGUCCUAUGGAUUGUAAACCUCUUUUGCCGGGGAGCAAAAAGCGGUACGUGUACCGCAUCGAGAGUACCCGGAGAAAAAGCAUCGGCUAACUCCGUGCCAGCAGCCGCGGUAAUACGGAGGAUGCGAGCGUUAUCCGGAUUUAUUGGGUUUAAAGGGUGCGCAGGCGGCGAGUUAAGUCAGCGGUAAAAUUUCGGGGCUCAACCCCGACAAGCCGUUGAAACUGGCUUGCUAGAGUGGGCGAGAAGUAUGCGGAAUGCGUGGUGUAGCGGUGAAAUGCAUAGAUAUCACGCAGAACUCCGAUUGCGAAGGCAGCAUACCGGCGCCCAACUGACGCUCAGGCACGAAAGCGUGGGUAUCGAACAGGAUUAGAUACCCUGGUAGUCCACGCAGUAAACGAUGAGCACUAAUUGUCCGGUCCGAAUGAGGGCUGG
rnacentral:rRNA from 1 species